GGGAUUGUGGCUUAGUGGUUGAGUGCUUGCUUCGCAUGCAUGAGGCACUGGGUUCGAUCCUCAGCAUCACA
rnacentral:tRNA from 1 species